CCCUUAGAUGUUCUGGGCUGCACGCGUGCUACACUGAUUACUUCAACAAGUGUUUUAACUGGAGAGUUCGCGUAAUCCUGAAAUGUUAUCGUGAUGGGAGUAGAGUAUUGUAUUUGUUAAUCUUUAACGAGGAAUUCCUAGUAAGUGUAGGUUUAUAAGUUGUUCUGAUUACGUCCCUGCCCUUUGUACACACCGCCCGUCGCUCCUACCGAUUGAUUGAUCCGGUGAAUUACAUAGAAUUUUGCGUUUUACAUGACGGAAGAUGAAGUGUUUUAAACCUUAUCAUUUAGAGGAAGGAGAAGUCGUAACG
rnacentral:rRNA from 1 species